rnacentral:tRNA from 1 species
UAAGUUUUAAGUUAUAUAAACUGCUAGCCUUCAAAGCUUUUUUAAAGAUCUCUUAAACUUAA